rnacentral:rRNA from 1 species
ACUCCUACGGGAGGCAGCAGUGGGGAAUUUUGCGCAAUGGGGGAAACCCUGACGCAGCAACGCCGCGUGGAGGAUGAAGUCCUUUGGGAAUGUAAACUCCUCUCGACCGGGACGAUAAUGAC